CGAAGCAUUUGCCAAGGACGUUUUCAUUAAUCAAGAACGAAAGUUAGGGGAUCGAAGAUGAUCAGAUACCGUCGUAGUCUUAACCAUAAACUAUGCCGACUAGGGAUCGGGCGUUGUUCUUUUUAUGACUCGCUCGGCACCUUACGAGAAAUCAAAGUUUUUGGGUUCUGGGGGGAGUAUGGUCGCAAGGCUGAAACUUAAAGGAAUUGACGGAAGGGCACCACCAGGAGUGGAGCCUGCGGCUUAAUUUGACUCAACACGGGAAAUCUCACCAGGUCCAGACACAAUAAGGAUUGACAGAUUGAGAGCUCUUUCUUGAUUUUGUGGGUGGUGGUGCAUGGCCGUUCUUAGUUGGUGGAGUGAUUUGUCUGCUUAAUUGCGAUAACGAACGAGACCUUAACCUACUAAAUAGUGCUGUUAGCUUCGGCUGAACUGGCACUUCUUAGAGGGACUAUCCAUUUCAAGUCGAUGGAAGUUUGAGGCAAUAACAGGUCUGUGAUGCCCUUAGACGUUCUGGGCCGCACGCGCGCUACACUGACGGACCCAGCAAGUACUAUCCUUGGCCGAAAGGUCCGGGUAAUCUCCUGAAACUCCGUCGUGCUGGGGAUAGAGCAUUGAAAUUAUUGCUCUUCAACGAGGAAUUCCUAG
rnacentral:rRNA from 1 species